rnacentral:tRNA from 1 species
ACAUACUUAGUUUUAACUUAGAAUUCUAUUUUGUCAAAAUAGGGGUGAUAUUAUCAGUGUGUU